GCAAGCUCUCUGGAACUGCCUGUGCAGUAACUUUGUGCAGCAUUAUGGAGGUCACCCUAUCUGUGCUAUAUCUCAUGGAGGUCACCCCAUCUGUGCUAGAUAGUGUGGUGUCUUAAUGCACACCAGCUUCUAACCAAUCAGAAUCCAGUAUUGAGACUGACCAUGGUGUAAUACAUUAUGAUCAACUUUGUAUUCUGCUUACAUGUGACUGCUCCAGAAGAUAUAUUGUUGUAUAAUAAUGAAAUGUAUUGUAUUUAUUGUUUUAUUAUAGACUAUGUCUUUACUGAGAGACUGUGAGGGUCAGCUUUUAACUUUUUUGCAUGUAAACCAUUAUUAUCAGCAGUGGAGUGUCAUCAUAUACUACAUUCACAGUACACUAUAGACUGUAUGUACAGUAUCUGGUCUUAUUCCACUCUUAAUUAACAGGGACACCACUUCAGCUUGGAGGGACGGACUGUGGGAUAUUCAUGUUGAUGGUAAGUGGUCAUAUAAUUGCUAUACCAUUGCCUCUGUGUGUGCUAAACACUGCAUUUGUUAAUAUAACAUCAGAGUUUUGAUUUUGUAUUUCAGUACGCCCUGUAUGUGACCCUUGCAAAGCCCUUUGAUUUUUCAGCUGUGAGUUUUUAUCAAUUUAUGGUUAUUUUUUUCAGCAAAAGGACCGUAAACACAACUACAAUUUUAUGAUUAAGAUUUUCAAUUGUCAUCGUUUAUCAUUCUGACAUGCCUGUAAUCAGGAGGUGGCGGUGCCAUCAGUUACUACAGGCAUUUCCUCUGGCAAGUCAAGUCCAACAGUCAGUCACCAAACAAACAAUCUUACUGGAGCUAAACAUCAUGGAGGUCACCCCAUCUGUGCCAGACCUCAUGGAGGUCACCCCAACACAGAGAAUCCAUGUAUAUACAGGGAAUGUUUAUGUAUUGUUUGACUAUUGUUUGUUUAUGUAAUUACCUUUCUUGUUUCAUAAAAGUGUUUGAGCAGCACUUGACUAAUUACAUGAUUAUUGAAAUGUCUUAUCUUUUUGUACAAAGGACUCGGCGGUGAUGAAACUCUGCUUGCCUGUGAGUGGGUGGAGGAGAACAGACCCCACUUUGCUGGGAAAGUUCACUUACCACGGAUCAUGAGGAUGAACGAGGAUGAUGCCUUGUUGGCCAUCACAAUGCAGGACCUGUUUAUCAACACUAUUUUUUAUGAAAGUGAAAUGGACGAAGAGAAAAUCCAGGCUCCCUUCCUUUUCACCUUCGAGAGAUUAGAGGACAUGGAGUUUUUCAUGCAGGAAACAUACGAUAAAAGAAAUAUUCAUGUGUCUUGCCUGCACAACCCUCACCGCUAACAAGCUAAUUAGUGGGGUAGAUCUGUGAAAAAAAAAUUUAUGUGUAGUUUUAGGUUUUGUAAAAUGUUUUUUUUUACCCAUUAAAGUGUUGUGGGGAAAAAAUGUGUUCUUGAAAUCUAAUAUACUAAAAUUUUAUUUUGUAUCUUUUAUCAUAUUUUUUUUUUUUUUUCCUAGAGUGAAGAUUGAUUUUUAUGUUAGAUGUACAUUUAGCUAAUAAAGCCGAAUAGAAAUAAAAUAAAUUCAGCAACACUUGAGGGCAGUGGAGUAUGUGACUAAUAAAUUGUAAAUUAAGUAACACUCCCAGUCUACUACCAAAUGUUCAUGGAGUUGGUUGUCUUUCUGCCAGUCUCAGAGCACAUGUGUCCUCUUGUUUUGUUCUUUAGUGUGACACAUGGCUGUAUUCAGACUACAAGACAAGGUGCUUAUUGUCACGAUUCCCCCUUGAAGCAGUGUGCUCUAUGUGCGAAUGCGCGAGCACCUGCUUUUCCGUUGUUGACCGUAGUGACAUCUGGACACGUGUGUUUUGUUUAUGUUUCUGUCGUGUCUCCUCCCUGUUCUGUCAUUGGCUGGGAUUUCACGUGGGUCUGUAUUGCUCUCAGCUGCUAGCGGUUUAGACGCUGAUCAUGUCCGCAUAUAUACCGCGCGCCUCCCAGCACACAACGCGGAAGAUUAAUGUCAUAGAGUUAGUUUAGUUCGUGGCACAGUCACGAGUUCGUUCGCGCUGGAUUAUCCGCUUCCAGUCCCUCGUCAUAGUUCGUUUCUCGUUUUGUUUAUCGACCCUGUUUUCCGUGACCACGACCUAGAUUCCAGCCUUGCCCACUGUUUGCCUGUUUGCCAAUCGCCUGACCUCUUGCAUGUUUGUGGAUCACGUUUUGGAUUUGUCUGCCUGUCUCUCUUUCAAAUAAACAACUGUUCAUCCUGCACUUGCAUCCGUCCUAUCUCUGCUCCGUCACGAUUCGUGACACUUAUUACCAUUUGAUGAAGACAAUCACAUGUGGACCGAGUCCAUCCAACAUUAUAUUCACAUAUUUCCAUCUAAAUUAUAUUCACAAUGAUACUCUUGUUGUACAUGCAUUCAUUUUUCUUUCAUGAUUGGGAGACCCGAAGUGUACAUUUAAAAGCAACAAAAGAGAUAAGACAAGCAGAUAGGUGAUCAUUUUAUUUAUUUAUUUAUCACACCUGCAAGGGCAACUCAGUUCCCAUGUUUAAAAGCAAAGAGCAUAUUAGGAGCACACUUUAUUACAUUAAUGAAUCACAUAUGACUUAGGAAAUUCACAAAUAGCCUACAUAGCCUUAAUACAGUGGGGAAAAAGAAAGUAGUCUAGUCGUGCAGUUUGUCACAGAAACAGUGCAGAAAAUUCAUGAAAUCAUGAAAAAUGUUAAAGAUAAGGCAAUAUUAGCUAUGCCAGCAUCUCCAGUUCCAUGCAAGUCUCAUGGUUACUUUGACCUAACCUUCGUGCAUUAACAAUCAACAUUUUUUCCCCUUUGAGUAAGUUUGAUCUAAUGAAGGGCUUGCAUUGACGUUAACAGCCAGUAGAUGGCGAAAUGAGCCAUAGAGGUGGAACUAGACUAGAUCCAUAAAUUACUAGACUAGAUCAAGAGAGGUGGAGCUAGACGUCCAGCUCCAUCUAUUUGGCUCUGCAGUGAGCAGUAGUGAUGGGAAGUUCAGACCAUUUUACUGACUCGGAUCUUUGAAUCUCGUUCAGCAAAAUUAACAAAUCUUUUUUCAAGUCAUUUCUUUCAUUUCCGCAGAAUAUAAUUAAAAUGUUACAUAUUAAAUUCACCAACACAUCUAGUACUUGCACAAACGAUCACAUUUGGAAUUAAAAAUAAAAUAUAGGCUAUUGCAGCCAAGGCCAAAUUAUGAGAAACAGAAAUGAUUAAUUAAUAGCUUAGCAUUAGGUCUUCAGG